UAAGGCGCCGUACCACGCUGAUCGGGAAAAUCCUGAGCCUGGCUGCGCCGCGCUGAACGGGUCGCGCCGCCGAGAUCGUUGGCAUCCGCAACCACAUCGCGCAUGCCCGAACCCUGCGGCGGGCGGCGCUGCGNNNNNNAACUCGUCGAGCAUGCGGGUGUCGUCGCUGCGCUGAUCGCGCGCACGGACAUCACGCAUCG
rnacentral:misc_RNA from 1 species